ensembl:lncRNA
CUCUCGCAGGCAGACUGCCCGGGAAGACGCGCCCGCGCUCACCUCUAAUGCGCUGGGCCCAGCACGCGUGAAGCCUGGCCCCUCACAGAGCUCCCAGACGCCUGCGUGCUGGUUACAACUAGAAUUCCUACGGCAAGUUCAUUGUUAAAGUCCGACCACAUGUCGACUGCUUACCAGGAACUUUGCAUAUACAUCUCUCAGAAGCUCCCACAGCCCUGGGAAGUAGUCAGCUCUCUCCCCACUCCACAGAACUGUGGCUCACAUGGGGUAGGGGUUUGCCAGGAGCCAGGGCAGCAGUUCUUGGGCCUCACUUGCCCAAGGCUGCUGAAUCAGAACAUCUGGGAAUGAAGGGGACCCAAGCAUCUGCAUGUAAACUAGCUCACGAGCUAGCCUGUUCAGUCUCCUUUCUGCUUCUCUGAAUUGAUUGGAGGCUACAAUCAAAUAACAACAACGAAGACCUCUG